GACCUAUCAGCUUUCGACGGUAGUGUAUUGGACUACCGUGGCAGUGACGGGUAACGGGGAAUUAGGGUUCGAUUCCGGAGAGGGAGCCUGAGAAACGGCUACCACAUCUAAGGAAGGCAGCAGGCGCGCAAAUUACCCAAUCCUGACUCAGGGAGGUAGUGACAAGAAAUAACAACACUGGAAAUUUUAUUUCUAGUGAUUGGAAUGAUGGGAAUCUAAACCCCUUUCAGAGUAACAAUUGGAGGGCAAGUCUGGUGCCAGCAGCCGCGGUAAUUCCAGCUCCAAUAGCGUAUAUUAAAGUUGUUGCAGUUAAAAAGCUCGUAGUUGGAUAUCUGCUGGAAGCAAUCAGUCCGCCUUAUUUAGGGUGUGCACUUGAUGAAUUCUGGCAUCUAUUAUUCCUAAUAUGAUGGUGACUUUCAGUAGUCAUCAGUGUUGGGAAUAAUACAGUUACUUUGAGAAAAUUAGAGUGUUUGAAGCAGGCUUAUUGCCUUGAAUACUGCAGC
rnacentral:rRNA from 1 species